rfam:Loxodonta africana unplaced genomic scaffold scaffold_50, whole genome shotgun sequence.
AAGACUCCACUUUCAGGGUCAUUUCUGCAGUUCAUUACUGGAGAAGUUUCUCUGAUCAUGUACAGCAGUGAUUUUUUUUGAGGAUCCCUGGUAGCACAGCGGUUAAGCCCUUGGCUGCUAACAGAAAGGU